UCAGACGAUGCGUCAUGCAUAUCAAUAAGCGGAGGAAAAGAAACUAACAAGGAUUCCCCUAGUAACGGCGAGUGAGGCGGGAAGAGCUCAAAUUUGAAAUCUUAAAGGGUUUCCCUUUACGAAUUGUAGUUUAAAGAAGUGUUUUCUGUUGAGGUUUUGGUAAAAGUUCUUUGGAAUAGGACAUCAUAGAGGGUGAGAAUCCCGUAUUUGACCUUUACUUUCAACUUUGUGAUACACUUUCAAAGAGUCGGAUUGUUUGGGAAUGCAGUCCAAAAUGGGUGGUAAAUUUCAUCUAAAGCUAAAUAUUGGCGAGAGACCGAUAGCGAACAAGUACCGUGAGGGAAAGAUGAAAAGAACUUUGAAAAGAGAGUUAAACAGUACGUGAAAUUGUCAAAGGGAAGCGUUUGACACCAGUGUUGUUUUUCUGAAAAUCAAUUAAAGAACUGUUUAUGCUAAGCUGUUUAGACUUUAUCAGCUAUCUGUUUAGUUUUAGGCUUUUCUUUAAUGCACUUUUCAGUUAACAAGUCAACAUCAAUUUCUUUUGCUGUAAAAAAGCUUGAGGAAGGUGGCUUGAGAUUCGUCUUAAGUGUUUAUAGCCUCUUGCCUAUGCAGUCGGAGAGAUUGAGGUCUGCAGCGUAGAUCCUUCGGGGCUAAAUGCAUUUGUGCUAAGUUAUAGCAUUUUAUAGACAACUUGUUGACUAUGAUUUGUCUUGUAGCUUACUCGCUUAUGUUAUUUUACCUACGCUUAGGAUGUUGACACACGCGCGUGCUC
rnacentral:rRNA from 1 species